AAUUAAUUAUAAAAACCGAAUUAGAAAAAUAAUGGAGAAUCUAAAAGAAAAAUUAAUAUGGAUAGAAGAAACCUUAGAAAAUCUAGAAAAAAGUACAUGUGAUAGUUUAUAUAAUUUAAAAAACUCACUACGAGAAGAACAACACAAGAUAAUAAAUAACAUUGAAAAUCUAGAAUUAGAUAUACAUUACAGUACAGUUAAGAUAAAUUAUUAUACAGAAAUUUGUAACUCUGCAAUUACUACAGGAU
rnacentral:lncRNA from 1 species